rnacentral:rRNA from 1 species
UGAGUAACACGUAUCCAACCUGCCGUCUACUCUUGGACAGCCUUCUGAAAGGAAGAUUAAUACAAGAUGGCAUCAUGUGUUCACAUGUUCACAUGAUUAAAGGUAUUCCGGUAGACGAUGGGGAUGCGUUCCAUUAGAUAGUAGGCGGGGUAACGGCCCACCUAGUCUUCGAUGGAUAGGGGUUCUGAGAGGAAGGUCCCCCACAUUGGAACUGAGACACGGUCCAA